rnacentral:rRNA from 1 species
UCCAGACUCCUACGGGAGGCAGCAGUGGGGGAUAUUGGACAAUGGGGGAAACCCUGAUCCAGCGACGCCGCGUGAGUGAAGAAGUAUUUCGGUAUGUAAAGCUCUGUCAGCAGGGAAGAAAGAAAUGACGGUACCUGACCAAGAAGCCCCGGCUAACUACGUGCCAGCAGCCGCGGUAAUACGUAGGGGGCAAGCGUUAUCCGGAAUUACUGGGUGUAAAGGGAGCGUAGACGGUGAUGCAAGUCUGGAGUGAAAGGCGGGGGCCCAACCCCCGGACUGCUCUGGAAACUGUACGGCUGGAGUGCAGGAGAAGUAAGUGGAAUUCCUAGUGUAGCGGUGAAAUGCGUAGAUAUUAGGAGGAACACCAGUGGCGAAGGCGGCUUACUGGACUGUAACUGACGUUGAGGCUCGAAAGCGUGGGGAGCAAACAGGAUUAGAUACCCUGGUAAAA